GAUGAACGCUGGCGGCGUGCCUAACACAUGCAAGUCGAGCGGAAAGACGCGGCUUGCGCUUUACUCCAGUGGCGGACGGGUGAGUAACUCCUAGGUGACUUACCCGUCACUUAGGCUGAGGUCAGGGAAGGUGAGCGUAGUCCAGAAUGGUUACUAUAUUGAACGUGAUGGUUCAAAAGUGAUAUCGGUUUAUGAUGAGCCUUAGACCUAUUAGCUAGUUGGUGGGGUAAUGGCUUACCAAGGCGGCGAUGCGUAGCCGGGCUGAGAGGGUGAACCGCCACACUGGGACUGAGAGACGGUCCAGACUCCUACGGGAGGCAGCAGUAGGGAAUCUUGGAAAAUGGGCGAAAGCCUGAACGAGCAACGCCGCGUGGGUGAAGAAGGUCUUCGGAUGGUAAAACUCUGUUAGUAGGGAAGAACCAAUGUGUAAGUAACGAUGCAUGUUUUGACGGUACCUAGACAAGAAGCAACGGCUAACUACGUG
rnacentral:rRNA from 1 species